rnacentral:rRNA from 1 species
GACGAACGCUGGCGGCGUGCUUAACACAUGCAAGUCGAACGGAAAGGCCCUGCUUUUGUGGGGUGCUCGAGUGGCGAACGGGUGAGUAACACGUGAGUAACCUGCCCUUGACUUUGGGAUAACUUCAGGAAACUGGGGCUAAUACCGGAUAGGAGCUCCUGCUGCAUGGUGGGUGUUGGAAAGUUUCGGCGGUUGGGGAUGGACUCGCGGCUUAUCAGCUUGUUGGUGGGGUAGUGGCUUACCAAGGCUUUGACGGGUAGCCGGCCUGAGAGGGUGACCGGCCACAUUGGGACUGAGAUACGGCCCAGACUCCUACGGGAGGCAGAAGUGGGGAAUAUUGCACAAUGGGCGGAAGCCUGAUGCAGCAACGCCGCGUGCGGGAUGACGGCCUUCGGGUUGUAAACCGCUUUCGCCUGUGACGAAGCGUGAGUGACGGUAAUGGGUAAAGAAGCACCGGCUAACUACGUG